UUGAACGCUGGCGGCAGGCCUAACACAUGCAAGUCGAGCGCGAAAGGUUUUCGGACUGAGUAAAGCGGCGGACGGGUGAGUAACGCGUGGGAAUCUGCCCAGUAGUGGGGGACAACAGCCCGAAACGGCUGCUAAUACCGCAUACGCCCUACGGGGGAACGGGGGGGAUCUUCGGACCGCGCGCCAUUGGAUGAGCCCGCGUGGGAUUAGCUCGUUGGUAGGGUAAAGGCCAACCAAGGCUACGAUCCGUAACUGGUCUGAGAGGAUGAUCAGUAACACUGGAACUGAGACACGGUCCAGACUCCUACGGGAGGCAGCAGUGGGGAAUAUUGGACAAUGGGGGCAACCCUGAUCCAGCCAUGCCGCGUGUGUGAAGAAGGCCUUAGGGUUGUAAAGCACUUUCAGUGGGGAGAAAGGUUUGUCACCUAAUACGUGAUGAAAUUGAUGUUACCCACAGAAGAAGCACCGGCUAACUCCGUGCCAGCAGCCGCCGUAA
rnacentral:rRNA from 1 species